rnacentral:rRNA from 1 species
GAAGACAGUUAUUACUUAAUAUACACAUGCAAGUCUCCGCUCCCCUGUGAAAACGCCCUUAAAUUCCUCCCAGGAAUAAGGAGCUGGUAUCAGGCACAAACUUAGCCCAAGACACCUAGCUAUGCCACACCCCCACGGGAACUCAGCAGUGAUUAACAUUGAAAAUAAGCGACAGCUUGAAUCAGUUAAAGUAAAUAGAGCCGGCAAAUCUGGUGCCAGCCGCCGCGGUUACACCAUGUGGCUCAAACUGUUCUCUUUCGGCGUAAAGCGUGAUUAAAGUUUCCUUUCAACUGCAAUUAAACUAAAACUAAGCUGUGACACGCUUGUUUGUAGGAAAUCCAAUAAACGAAAGUCAUUGCAACCCUAAUAACUUGAACUCACGACAGCUGGGAAACAAACUGGGA